CAGUAGCCACGGUAAUACGUAGGGUGCAAGCGUUAAUCGGAAUUACUGGGCGUAAAGCGUGCGCAGGCGGUUAUAUAAGACAGAUGUGAAAUCCCCGGGCUCAACCUGGGAACUGCAUUUGUGACUGUAUAGCUAGAGUACGGCAGAGGGGGAUGGAAUUCCGCGUGUAGCAGUGAAAUGCGUAGAUAUGCGGAGGAACACCGAUGGCGAAGGCAAUCCCCUGGGCCUGUACUGACGCUCAUGCACGAAAGCGUGGGGAGCAAACAGGAUUAGAUACCCAGUAGUCCCUGUCUCUUAUACC
rnacentral:rRNA from 1 species